AUUCCUGCCUAGAAUAUCUCCCAUUUCUGUGAGAUGGAAAUGUUUGCUGGAGCUUUCAGUCUCAAAAUGCAUUUCCAUACCAUGCCUUUUAGACAGCGAUGAUUUAAGAACUUCUAUUCUCUGCCAUGAGUCACUUUGCAAAGAAAACUCUGGCAAAAUCUGAAAACCUUAAUUUCAGUUUGAGGUUUGGAGCCUGGUUGUCCUUAUGUCUCCCUGCAGUCCAUGGAAGGGAUACCUCACUCCAGAGAGGCAUGCAGGGACCUGGUCUUGUUUAAGCAGAGACUUGGAGUCUUUAAAGAGCAGGAAGAUGCUGCAUCUAUUCAAACACCUCCAACAAGCACUCUCCUGUUCCCCUCGUCUUUUUUCCAAGGACAGUAUCCAUAUAGAUUAAGCUCAGACAAAACACCAAAGUAUAAGAAAAUGACAUACAGCAAGAACCCUUUCCUCAAGGAAUAACCUUCCAGAAUGAGCUACAGGAUUUUCAAGGGAAAAAACAGAGUAUAUGAGGGUGGAGGAUGAAAUGUCCCCUGGGAGUACAGAGGUUACAGAGGUUUCCCAUUUGCCCAACAUAUUUUCUCCUCUUUCCCAUCCAUUUAC